rnacentral:rRNA from 1 species
AACGAACGCUGGCGGCAUGCCUAACACAUGCAAGUCGAACGAGACCUUCGGGUCUAGUGGCUCACGGGUGCGUAACGCGUGGGAACCUGCCCUUAGGUUCGGAAUAACUCCCCGAAAGGGGUGCUAAUACCGGAUAAUGUCUUCGGACCAAAGAUUUAUCGCCUUUGGAUGGGCCCGCGUUGGAUUAGCUAGUUGGUAGGGUAAAAGCCUACCAAGGCGACGAUCCAUAGCUGGUCUGAGAGGAUGAUCAGCCACACUGGGACUGAGACACGGCCCAGACUCCUACGGGAGGCAGCAGUGGGGAAUAUUGGACAAUGGGCGGAAGCCUGAUCCAGCAAUGCCGCGUGAGUGAUGAAGGCCUUAGGGUUGUAAAGCUCUUUUACCCGGGAUGAUAAUGACAGUACCGGGAGAAUAAGCUCCGGCUAACUCCGUG